rnacentral:rRNA from 1 species
GAUGAACGCUGGCGGCGUGCCUAAUACAUGCAAGUCGAGCGAAGCGGGGACGGGUGAGUAACACGUGGAUAACCUCCUAUAAGACUGGGAUAACUUCGGGAAACCGGAGCUAAACCGGAUAAUUAUAGAUGGAUCUUCGCUGCAUUAGCUAGUUGGUAAGGUAACGGCUUACCAAGGCAACGAUGCAUAGCCGACCGGAGAGGGUUGUCGGACACACGUGAACGGAUACGCGGUCCAGGCUCCUCCGGGAGGCAGCAGUAGGGAAACUUCCGCAAUGGGCGAAAUCCUGGCGGGUAAACGCCGCGUGAGUGAUGGAGGUCUUGGGAUUGUAAAACUCUUUUAUUAGGGAAGCGGUACCUAAUCAGAAAGCCACGGCUAACUACGUGCCAGCAGCCGCGGUAAUUC